rnacentral:siRNA from 1 species
AUGAGGGUAAUCGCCUUCACGACA